AGGAUGAACGCUGGCGGCGUGCCUAACACAUGCAAGUCGAACGUCCUGUCUCGCAAGAGGCAGGGAGUGGCGGACGGGUGAGUACCACGUGGGUCAUCUACCGUGAGGUGAGGAAUACCGGCGAGAAAUCGCCGACAAGACCGCAUAGGCUCGAUGCAAGUCGAGCAAAGCUCUUUCGAGAGAGGGAGCGCCACACGAGGAGCCUGCGCCCGAUUAGCUAGCUGGUGGAGUAACGGUUCACCAGGGCGACGAUCGGUAGCUGGUCUGAGAGGACGAUCAGCCACACUGGGAUUGAGAACGGCCCAGACUCCUACGGGGGGCAGCAGUGAGGAAUUUUCGCAAUGGGGGCAACCCUGAACGAGCAACGCCGCGUUCAGGAAGAAGGUUUUCGGAUCGUAAACUGCUUUUCUCGGGGAAGAGAACGGACGGUACCCGAGGAAUCAGCCCCGGCUAACUACGUGCCAGCAGCCGCGGU
rnacentral:rRNA from 1 species